CCUACGGGAGGCAGCAGUGGGGAAUAUUGCACAAUGGGGGAAACCCUGAUGCAGCGACGCCGCGUGAGUGAAGAAGGAUUUCGGUAUUUAAAGCUCUGUCAGCAGGGAAGAAAAUGACGCUACCUGACUAAGAAGCCACUGCUAACUCCGUGCCAGAAGCCGCGGGCAUACGUCGGGUGCCAGCUGUAUCCGGAUUGUCUGGGUGUAAAUGGAGCUUCGACGGUAGGGCAAGUCAGGAGUGAAAGCCGGGGGCUCAAUCCCCGGACUGCUUGUGAAACUGGCAGGCUGGAGUGAAGGAGAGGUAAGCGGAAUUCCUGGUGUAGCGGUGAAAUGCGUAGAUAUUAGGAAGAACACCAGUGGCGAAGGCGGCUUACUGGACUGUAACUGACGUUGAGGCACGAAAGCGUGGGGAGCAAACAGGAUUAGAUACCCCAGUAGUC
rnacentral:rRNA from 1 species